rnacentral:rRNA from 1 species
UACGGAGGGUGCAAGCGUUAUCCGGAUUUACUGGGUUUAAAGGGUGCGCAGGCGGAUAUGUAAGUCAGUGGUGAAAUCUUCCCGCUUAACGGGAAAACUGCCGUUGAUACUAUAUAUCUUGAAUGCCGUGGAGGUAAGCGGAAUAUGUCAUGUAGCGGUGAAAUGCUUAGAGAUGACAUAGAACACCGAUUGCGAAGGCAGGUCUCUGGGCCACUACUGACGCUGAGAAGCGAAAGCAUGGGGAGCGAACAGG